UCGUGCAUCGUUCUUCGUGCAGUAUCCAGUGGUGUCCAGACGCGAGUAGGGAGUAGUACAAUCGAUUUCAACAUAACUUUGUCGAAACGAAACGUACCGAACCUUAUUAUACGUUGUAGGUGAAAAGUAACGAAUGUUGGUUGAUUCCAUGGAUCCCGUUUGCAGAGAGAGGAGAAGGAUGAGCAAGCGAAGACGUCUGCAGAGGUUAUCGAAUGUGUCAAUAAAGGGAGAAGAGAAGAAUGAGUGCUCGAAGACGUUUGCGGAGGUUAUCUGAUGGGAAAUGUCAAUCGAGGUUAGCUUAUGGCUCCUUGGAGUGGAGUCUUUUUUUUUUUGUUUUUUGUGCUCAAGAUUGUGCCUCGAAGCUUAUACGAGAGAAGAAACCUCUAUAGGAGUGCCUUUUGCUAGUACGAUCGCAAAACUCGUCUUGGACAACAAGUGGGUGUUUGCACCGAUCUUGAUUGUUUGGUGACGAGUGCAGUUGUUGGUACGUAGUGUCAGUGAGAUACAGUGUGCGUGCGAAUCAGAGUGUGGAACAUAUGAUACAUUGGUUAACGAACGAAAUUCCGACAAGUUUUUCUAUGCGAUUGGUGUAACUAUGUACGUUUAUUGUCUAGGUGCAAGUUAACCCUUUGCAUUCGAGGCCUCUCUUUUCUUUUUUCUCUUUUCUAGUAUGUAUCAACAACUGUAGAAUGGUUUCUUAGCUUUGUACAAUGUAAACACAAAGCCAUAUAUUAGCUUGGAAGUUGUACGAUUGCAAUUAAUUUAACAUUUAAUAAUCGAGUUUCCUUUACCUGUCAGAGAAUUAUACGAUCGAUGAUUGGAAUUACAUUGAAAUAAAAUAAAACCUUGUAAACAUUA